GGUGACUCAGUGGUAGAGUGCUUGCCUUGCAUGUAUGAGGCCCUGGGUUCAAUACCACAGCACCA
rnacentral:tRNA from 1 species